ACAUGGGGCGGGGGGGAGACUCUAGAGGAGAAGGGUGAAAAAAAAGAGCUGCAAUUAAUGUGGUUUCCUGUUACAUGCAGCCAUGAAGUCUUGGUUCCCACUCAUUACGAAUGCUACACAGAUGACAUAAAUCAAGGACAGUAAAAAUCUUCAUUGCUACAUCAGUAAAUUAUGCUCAGGGAUGCUCGGCGCAUUGAUUGUGUUAAAAUGUUGUGAUUUUACAUUACUCUCAUUAAAUGCAUGCAUGACUUCUUUUUUUUACAAUCCAUAAACAGAUCUCAAAUAAAAGUUAAUAAAUGUCAGCAUUUGCAUUCGAAAAAAACAUCUUGCCGCGUUUUUGCAAAUAUCAAUCCAUGAACCUUUCAACAUUUCGUCAAGCAAAAUGCUAAUUGUACCUUUAGGAAUUUAGGAGACAGUGACAAGAAAUGUAAUGCUCUGUCCUUCUUCGGCUGAGGGGCGGCAGUGAGGGUAGCACGCACAGACCCCUCAGCGUGAGGAAGGCAAACACACAGGCCCACGUGUCUCACUGUGUGAGGAAUAUUCAGCACUCAUCCCACUGUCUCCAACGUCUUCUCUCCUGCUUAGGGGUUGGGAACACAGCAAUCGCUCCAUACUGUAUUUACCAAGGCCUUUUUAAUCAGGAGCAGACAAAGAAUCCUGUCUUUGGUGUGGCACAGAAGAAGAAAAAGAAGAAGAAGAAGAAUGAGACAAAAUGGGGAACGUGCCAAGCCACGCAGGGAAAAGCCAAGGGGCCGAAACACAGAAUGGAACGGAGGAGAAGGAAUGAGUGAUAGAAAGAUAAGGGCACAAAACCACAAGGGAACAGACCAAACAGGAAGUGCUGGGAAAGGGGGCAAACACGGGGGGUGUCCCCGGGCGGAGCGCUGGGAGUGUGUGGUGGACACACACGUCUGCCUUCGCAGCCGAAGACGAGGAGGAGGAGGAGGAGGAGGAGGAACAAACAGCACAGUCGCGCACAAACACAGAUACGCCAUUGAGACACAAUGGGUUUUCAAAUUCAAACCGUGGCCGCUGAGCCUCAACAAACAGCAGUGAGGGGACCAGGAUGCCAUGGAUGCCACGGGAUAUUCCUGCUUUUAGAAGUUUGUAUUCCGGAGCAGCCCAAUGUAAAUGUAGCGUAGAAAGGCCCAAGCCAGGAUACAAUGCAGGCCUACAAAACACAUCUUCUGGACCAUUUAAAAUCAAAUACCUAUUCAGGACUUGUUUUCAUUUCUUUCUUUCUGUCUUUCUUUCUUCUUUCUCUCUCUCAUUUUCUCCCCCCUCUGCUUUCCUCUUUUUUUCUUUAUAGAGAAGCAGACACAGACUAUGUUGUGCCUCCUGCUUUUUUUCUCACUCUUUUGCCUAGUUCUCCUUUAUGUAUUCAAAUUCAGUUCAGCAGCAUAAAAUCCUCCCAAGGGUCAUCAUUGUGCUCCUGCUUGUCCCCUGGGCUCCCCAUCACAGCGCUCAAUCUCCUCAUCUACACAAUGUAACACCCAGAAGAUGAAGCCAGGAACAGGCCCCCCCUCCCCUACACUACCCCUUUUUAAAUGGCCACAUGCAAUUUGAAGAUUAAUUAAAAUGCCUUUAAAGCCAUUGCUGAUUGUGUGAGAUUCUCUCUCAAAGACGUUGUAAAUUAUUCCACUUUUCUUCAAAAAAAAGAAAAA